ensembl:lncRNA
GCGCGGAGCAGCGCGGGGGCAACGGGCCCCGGGGCUAGGGACCUGGCGCGCGGGGGCCGGGGCGCCUCGGGCUGGAGCGGCUGGGCGGGUGAGAGGCGAGCGCGGCGGCGGCGGCCGGAGGAGAUUCGCGGAGCCGAGACUGAGCCAGGGAGUGCGCGCCCAGAAGUUUUUAUAAGUGGCAGCCGCCGAUGAUGAAACCCGCUCCAAUAAGAAAGCUGUCUGAAACCCUCCUCCCUCUUUUACUCGGGUGUCAAAGGCGCUGCGAGCCCCCGCCCCUCCGCCGCCACCGCCCCCUCAGACAGAUUUUUUACCACCAGGAUUCCAAGCGCGGAGAAGAGACAGUGAGGCUUCUCAAGGGAAGGAUAACAAGGUUCUUCCAAAAGCAGCUGCAGUGAGGAAUCCAGCUCUGGAGGCAUUUUUCCAGCUCCCUCAUUCCUGUAGUCCCGUACAGAGGGAACCUCUCCAACCCCACCCCAAACCCAGGAAAAGAUGCCGUCAAUAUCCAGGAGGCUUUGGCUAAGACAAAGGCCACAGGACAGAUGGACCACAUAGGCUUCUUAUUUCUACCCAAGAUCUGAUACCUUUCUGGGCCUGGUCUGGCCUGGCCUGGGUCUGGGGGCUUCUGUGCACCUGCGACCCAAGGUCCCUGGACAUGGCAGCAUUCCAGAGCUGUUGAACAGUGGGCAGCCCCUGGCCACUUCACUCAGCCAUAGAGCAAGGUACAUCCAGACAGGCUUCCCACAGCUCUGUAGCAGCCCCAGCCUCAGGGCAGGCAUUAAUUCCAGCUCCCAUCUGUCCACUGGGAGAACACGGCACGCAAGGACAGAUACCAGCAUGGAGCACUUGGUGUGUGCUGGGCAUACCAGGCCCUCUGCUGAGCACCCACAUGCAGGAUUUCAUGAAGCCCCAACGUUAGCCCUACAGGCAUAGGUACUAUUAGAGUCUGGACUCCACAGACAAGGAUGCUAGAGCAGUCCAAUAAGAAAGCUGUCUGAAAGCCACAGCUAGCAAGUGGUGGAGCUGGACCCUGAAUUCAGCCUUGUCUGACUCUAAAGCCCAGACUUGAAGCAUUAUGUUUUCUGAUCAGUUGUCUAGUCCAGCAGCCCCAUUUUGCAAGAUGAACUAAACAGGGACCAGAAAACCCCCAGGCCAAGGUCACAGGCACCUUAGGGCUACCAUGGCUGGAGCUUCUUUCUCAAACCCUGAGACCUCACUAUGAUCCUCUGGUAGAACCCCUGGAGGAUCAGCCUCUCCAGCCCUCACCUAGUCCCGUUCUGUUAAUCUGGCCCUCUGCCUCCCGUCAGCGCCAGCAUCAUCUCCAAAGGAAAAGCCUAUUCAGAAAUGCUCACAGAUGCUUAUCUUCCUUCAUUGACCUUUACUGGGUGGAGUUCAGCUAAAUGUAAUGGAGAGCCAACCAAAAUGACUUAAAUGAGAUUUAUUUGUCUCUCAUAAUAAGAAGUCUGCUAGUAGGUAGUCCAGGGGUCAUAACCUAGGCCCUUCAAGAUUCCUUAGCCUGUGGUUCCCAUCCCCAUGGCUGGCUCAUUGUCACAAGAUAGCUGCUCCAUCUCCAGCCUCCUCUCCUAAUUCCAGGAAAGACGUGGAAGACAGGAAACAGGAAGGGGCCAUGCUUACAUCAAGAGAGCAAAUCUCUCCCUUGCAUGCACAGCUGCUUUUCCUUAAGUCUUCUUGGCCAAACCUGGGUCACAUAGCUACCCCCUGCAAAGGAUGCUAAGAAGUAUAGUUAACACUAUUGCUGUCCUGUGAACAAAAUUGGGGUUUUAUUAGGGAAAAAAUAAUAGUGUGUUUUACAUUUUCAACACCUGCACAUGGAGUAACCCAUUUGCUUUCAAGAGCACUCCCGGAGUAUGCCUCCCAGACUUUCUGUCCUUAAAUUUCGGUAAAUAUUUCCUAGCACUGAAAAAAUACAAAAUCAGGCUGGGCACGGUGGCUCAUACCUCUAAUCCCAGCACUUGAGGAGUCCAAGGCGGGCAGAUAACUUGAGGUCAGGAGUUUGAGACCAGCCUGGCCAACAUGGUGAAACCCCGUCUCUACUAAAAAUACAAGAUUAGCCAGGUGAGGUGGCAGGUGUCUGUAGUCCCAGCUGCUUGGGAGGCUGAAGCAGGAGAAUCGCUUGAACCUGGUAGGCAGGGGCUGUAGUGAGC